CAUUUUGUUUAUACUGAAAACUUUUUUCGGAAAGCAAUGUUUUCCAAUGAAUACAAUUAAAAUCUUCUUGAACUAAUAUUACAGAUGCCUCAGAAGACGGUAACCAAAAUGUAGAAAAUACUAAAUCAAUAGAACUUAUUCCUUCUGUUUUUAAAAUAGAUGGUAAUAAUAUUCCAGUUGGUGGUUGUUUUUGUAUACCAUGUACUGAAUACAUGUGAUUGUUAGCCUUUAUAUCCCGCUUUUCUUUUUGUUUUUUUAAUUUUAAUCCAGAUUUAUAUUCUAAUUUUAAUUUUAAAUCUAUGCCAGUAUCCUUUUUCUUAUUCCGACCUUUUAAUGAUUUUUGUUUAGGAAUUUUUUUUAUAGCAACAGUUUCUACAUCCUAAAAAAAAUUUUU
rnacentral:misc_RNA from 1 species